CAGUAGCCACGGGAAUACGAAGGGGGCUAGCGUUGCUCGGAAUGACUGGGCGUAAAGGGCGCGUAGGCGGAUGGCACAGUCAGAUGUGAAAUUCCCGGGCUUAACCUGGGGGCUGCAUUUGAUACGUGUUGUCUAGAGUGAGGAAGAGGGUCGUGGAAUUCCCAGUGUAGAGGUGAAAUUCGUAGAUAUUGGGAAGAACACCGGUGGCGAAGGCGGCGACCUGGUCCUUUACUGACGCUGAGGCGCGAAAGCGUGAGGAGCAAACAGGAUUAGAUACCCCCGUAGUCCCUGUCUCUUAUAC
rnacentral:rRNA from 1 species